rnacentral:sRNA from 1 species
GGUUGUGAGAAUGAUCAGGCUGCAACAUCUGUCAACCCUUUGAUCACCAGGGUUGAUUGAUUCUGCUGAUCUGGCUAGCUGAGCAGAUGUUCCCUUCCUUAGUCACCUCUCCACAAGCCUGGGUUUAUCCCUAAGCUGCAGGCUCAGAGGACAAGUAUGACGACCCUCCAUGAAUAUAAGCAGACCAGUCUAUGGUCCACCUGCUAAAACCUCCAAACAGACUCUCAACAAAGAUUUUGUUUGUUUGUUUGUUUGU